AUAUUUCAACAACACACAAAUGCUGUAGCUAAGAUGAAACCGUUUUAAUCUGGCAAUUGUGUACCUUCCUUUACAAUAUGAAACUAGAGUUGGAGCAGUAUUUUUGCACAGUUUAUCUUUUCUUAUGGCACUAUCGACUUUCCUAUGCGCUGUGCGAAGGAAUUUUCAACUACAAACCUUGUUGUGUCGGAGAGAUGUGGAAUUCAACAGAGAAUAAAUGCAUGCAGUGUCCCUAGGGAUAUUUUGGAGAAAAUUGUACUUUACUGUGCAAUGUUCCGGAGUAUGGAUAUAGAUGUUCAUCAGGGAAGUGUACAUGCAACCGUGUCAUUUGUAAAAUAAGGAAAUCUAGGGAAUGUUUAACAUUGCCCGGUAAAAUGUGCUUAAAUAUUUUUUCUGUAAUUAGAUAGUUUCG